UUAAAGAGACUUUUAAAAUGGCAUAUUCAAAAUAGACAGGUUUUUAUCGUUAUUGUUUCUUUUAGUUCUUCUCAAAAUAAGGACCAUUUUAGAAAAUGUUUCUACUAGAAUGAUUUUUUUUUUUUUUUUUUUUUUUUGCCCUUAAUUGCCUGCUUUCGUGUUCCAAUAGAAUGCACGAGUAAAAAUUCCUUCUGGCAGAACAUUAUGUGCACAGCCCACAAAAGUGCUCAUAAAACACAAUGCCAUUUGUUUGGUGACCUUCAUAAGAGCUUAAUUACCCAUGGUGGAAACAUGGUUUCUAUUGAUACUGAAUUGCUACUUUUUAGCACCUUUCUUUUUAUGGCACAUCAGACCUCAAAAUUUAUGUCCACUCUCAUGAUCAAAUGUAUAAGAAGACAUUAAAUUUUAAUAUCAAGAAAUAAAGUUAAAUCAUCUAAUGCACAUUAGAGCAUAUUUAAAUUUCAUUCAGUUUUUAAAAUAAGUAAUAUAUUUUUAUGGUUCCAAAUUCAAAAGGUACAAAGAUUGUGAAAUUCCUUUCUCUAUCUCUUGCUUAUCCAGUUUUCCUGCCUACAUGCAGGAAAUUAGUGAUUUCAAUUUGCUGUCUAAUCUUCCCAAGGUAUUAUGUAUGAGGGUGUAUUUAAAUAUACAUGUAUAUUUUUACCACCUUAUUAAGUAAAUGGUAACAUACUAUAUCUAUUAUUAUGUACUUUUUUCAUUAUGCAAUAUAAAUUGGAUAUUAUUACACAUGAGUACAUAAAGAACUUUCUAUUCUCAUGGUAUAUA